rnacentral:lncRNA from 1 species
UUUCAGGCGGCCUCCUGAGAAAUGUUUGCAAUUGUAAGGCGUCUCUCUCAUCCAGGUUUACCCAGAUUCGCAAACUAUGGCGACAAACAACCAUAGCAGAAGCAUGUCCGGAUUAUUUCACAUAUAUCACAAAAUCCUGCAAAGGGUCUGUCCCCAUUGGAUCACCUCCCAUCACGCCACACACGACGUGAAUGACUUCGUGCUUCUCCAUACCUGCAUUGAUCUCUGGGUCCAUUGCCAGUUAUAAACCUCCAAGGGCAAUAGCCAUGAGGUGAUGUACAGUCAAGCAUCACUUAAUAACCAGGAUACAUUCUGAGAAAUUUGUCGUUAGGCAAUUUUUUCAUUGCACGAACCUCACAGAGUGUACUUACACUAACCUAGAUAGUAGCAUCCAGUAAACACCUGGGCUAUAUGGUCUAGCCUAUUGCUCCUAGGCUACAAACCUGUAUAGCAUGUUACUGUACUGAAUAUGUAGGCACUUGUAACACAAUGGUAAGUGUUUUUGUAUCUAAACAUAUCUAAACAUAGGAGAGGUAAUGCAUUGUGCUACAGCAUUACAAUGGCUAUGACAGACACUAGGCAAUAGGAAUUUUCCAGCUCCAUUAUAAUCUUAAGGGACCACCAUGGCACAUGCAGCCCAUUGUUGACCAAAAGUUGUUAUGUGGUGAAUGACUAUAAUUGGCUUUUCAGAGCAACCACUCACAAGGGGGUGUAGUAUAGCUUACUAGACAAAACUGCAGCCGCUGCUCUGUUUUUUGCUCUUAGAAAACUGAGUACCUGAUUUGGACAAAAUCAUAAUAAAAUUUAGAUAGAGCCAACAUUUGUCCUCUGGAAGUUUCUGACAAGAUACAAGUCACCGUUAUAAUAGUCAAAUGUCAAAGUGGUAUAUCUAACAAAAUUAAAACAGACAGCUAGGAGUGAGAAGAUUUAAGAAAAUUCAGGUGGCCCAAAGGAAAGCCAAGACAAGACAUUCUCUCCCGGCCUUUGGGCCUGGAUUUUCAUUUCAGCAGGUAACGAGGAGACCAAAGGCCUAGUUAUUUAUGGAGAUCUGGGGCCACAGCAGAGCUCCUCAUGGCAGGAUAAGGCAGUGGAAAGCAGACUCAACGGUUAACCCACAGUCCUCCUCAGCAAGCUGGGAGAAGCAACUGAUGCCACUUAGAUGCUUAGACCGGGCCUUCUGGGAGAGAUCUGGCCCAAGGAGCAGCCGGCAGCUUGACACAGUGACCAAUUGGAAGCACAGCAGCCACACGCCAUGAAACAAGACGGAGUUUCGCUCUUGGCUGGAGUGCAAUGUCGCAAUCU